rnacentral:rRNA from 1 species
CCUACGGGGGGCAGCAGUGAGGAGUAUUGGUCAAUGGACGAGAGUCUGAACCAGCCAAGUAGCGUGAAGGAUGACUGCCCUAUGGGUUGUAAACUUCUUUUAUAUGGGAAUAAAACGUUCCACGUGUGGGAUUUUGUAUGUACCAUAUGAAUAAGGAUCGGCUAACUCCGUGCCAGCAGCCGCGGUAAUACGGAGGAUCCGAGCGUUAUCCGGAUUUAUUGGGUUUAAAGGGAGCGUAGGUGGAUUGUUAAGUCAGUUGUGAAAGUUUGCGGCUCAACCGUAAAAUUGCAGUUGAAACUGGCAGUCUUGAGUACAGUAGAGGUGGGCGGAAUUCGUGGUGUAGCGGUGAAAUGCUUAGAUAUCACGAAGAACUCCGAUUGCGAAGGCAGUUCACUGGACUGCAACUGACACUGAGGCUCGAAAGUGUGGGUAUCAAACAGGAUUAGAUACCCCUGUAGUC